UACGGAGGGGGCUAGCGUUGUUCGGAAUUACUGGGCGUAAAGCGCACGUAGGCGGAUGUUCAAGUCGGGGGUGAAAUCCCGGGGCUCAACCCCGGAACUGCCUUCGAUACUGGACGUCUGGAGGUCGGGAGAGGUGAGUGGAAUUCCGAGUGUAGAGGUGAAAUUCGUAGAUAUUCGGAGGAACACCGGUGGCGAAGGCGGCUCACUGGCCCGAUUCUGACGCUGAGGUGCGAAAGAGUGGGGAGCAAACAGG
rnacentral:rRNA from 1 species